CUCACACUCCGAAGUCUACUUUAGUGAAUCUGGCAAGGAUGUAAGAAGCAGGGAAUGUAUUUGUUGUUGCUGUUAGCUACUUUCAAGUCAAUUUUGAUUUAUGGCUACUCCAUGAAAGAAAGAUCUUCAAGUCACCCCAUCUCCAACUGCACUGCUCACCUCUUACAGAAUCAGGGCUGUGGCUGUCUUUCUUGCUUGUGUCUAUCAGUCUGUAAUGCCAUCUUUCUUCUUCCUGCCCCUUCUUUCUUAACAGGCAAUAUUGUCUUUUCCAGUGAUCCAUGUCUUCUUGUGAUGUGUCCAUGCCCUACCCAAAAAAAAGGUCCUCUGCAGCAUUCUUUUCCGGAAUGAACAUGUACAGAACCCAACGGGAGAAGACCUCUUUAUUUGUCAUUAGAAAAUGCAAUUAACUCUUAAGGUCAGACAAUGCCUUCCCUUGUAAUCAGGCAGUUUCAGGCUCUCUCUGCAAAGCCAGAACAGGUGUUCCUUUCAUUCCCGCUGCCUGUCUACCUGGCGAAGGCCCAAAUAGCUUUCAUUGAAGCCUGUGCUGCGCAUGAUGCAUGGGCACAUGCCUGUCUCAGGGUAGUCCCCAAACUGGCUCCUUACUAAGCCCUGUGUAGUUUUGUUUUGUUUCUCUUGAACACAGAUACAAACAGUUGCUUUCUAGAGCUUAAUUAAGCAAUCGCUUGCAUUUUUAGGCUACUCAGCUCUUAUCAACAAGAAGACAAAUGAUGACAAUCAGAACAACUUGAACAUUUGGGUCACACAUAUCACAGGUUCAAAACAAAGUUUUACAAUGGAAGUAAUUAUUAUCCCUGCAUUAUCGGCGUUAGAGUGAGACAGUAUGCAUUUGCUUUAAGGCAAGUGCUUGGAAAAAUUUUGUUUUCUUUUUUAAAAUCUGUAGUUAAUUGUUUGGGAAUACUCUGUUAAUGUGGAAUUUGUGUAUUGGUUGUGUUUAAAUGCAAUUUGUGUCUUGCCUGUAUUGCAUGCUGAUUGCAUCAUCCAGAGUGUACUAUAGUCUGGAAAGAGUUAAUUACUAAGAAGCUGUGAUGACCUUGAUGUGUGGCUGGAACUGGGGAGUGUCCAGACACAAGUGUUCGUGCAUUACUGAUUGCAUCAGUUCAGUUCUCAGUUCUGAGUCAAGUGCUGUCUGCCUAGAGUGAGAGUCAAGUCCUGUGUCCAUUGUCUGCAAGUCUGUUUGUCUUGAUUAUUACUGAAGUCAGUAAAACUUUGUAUAUAGUUUUACCAUCA